rnacentral:rRNA from 1 species
UACGUAGGGGGCUAGCGUUGUCCGGAAUCAUUGGGCGUAAAGCGCGUGUAGGCGGUCCGGUAAGUCCGCUGUGAAAGUCGGGGGCUCAACCCUCGAAUGCCGGUGGAUACUGUCGGGCUAGAGUGCGGAAGAGGCGAGUGGAAUUCCUGGUGUAGCGGUGAAAUUCGUAGAUAUCGGGAGGAAUACCAGUGGCGAAGGCGGCGACCUGGGCCAAUACUGACGCUGAGGUGCGAAAGCGUGGGGAGCAAACAGG